rnacentral:sRNA from 2 species
UAUAGAAUUUGUUAGGUGAGGCUCCUAUAAAGAAAUACGUUGCUACCCAGAAAAAUCUAGAGAUUCCAAUGGGUUAACAGAAAUCAUCGCGAAGGUGAUUUUUAAUGUAACUGACGAUUGUCUACGCUCUAUAGUGCUAAAGCUCUACGAAAUAGAAGGAUU